CGGGUGAGUAACACGUAAGUAAUCUACCUUCGAGUGGGGAAUAACGUCCGGAAACGGACGCUAAUACCGCAUAAUGCAGCGGCAUCGAAAGAUGACAGUUGUUAAAGGAGCAAUUCGCUUGAAGAGGAGCUUGCGGCAGAUUAGCUAGUUGGUAAGGUAAUGGCUUACCAAGGCUACGAUCUGUAACCGGUCUAAGAGGACGGUCGGUCACACUGACACUGAAUAACGGGUCAG
rnacentral:rRNA from 1 species